rnacentral:rRNA from 1 species
AGAGUUUGAUCCUGGCUCAGAUUGAACGCUGGCGGCAUGCCUUACACAUGCAAGUCGAACGGCAGCACGAGAGCUUGCUCUUGGUGGCGAGUGGCGAACGGGUGAGUAAUAUAUCGGAACGUACCCUAGAGUGGGGGAUAACGUAGCGAAAGUUACGCUAAUACCGCAUACGAUCUACGGAUGAAAGUGGGGGAUCGCAAGACCUCAUGCUCAUGGAGCGGCCGAUAUCUGAUUAGCUAGUUGGUGGGGUAAAAGCUCACCAAGGCGACGAUCAGUAGCUGGUCUGAGAGGACGACCAGCCACACUGGAACUGAGACACGGUCCAGACUCCUACGGGAGGCAGCAGUGGGGAAUUUUGGACAAUGGGCGCAAGCCUGAUCCAGCAAUGCCGCGUGAGUGAAGAAGGCCUUCGGGUUGUAAAGCUCUUUUGUCAGGGAAGAAACGGUGGACUCUAAUACAGAUCACUAAUGACGGUACCUGAAGAAUAAGCACCGGCUAACUACGUGCCAGCAGCCGCGGUAAUACGUAGGGUGCAAGCGUUAAUCGGAAUUACUGGGCGUAAAGCGUGCGCAGGCGGUUGUGCAAGACAGAUGUGAAAUCCCCGGGCUCAACCUGGGAAUUGCAUUUGUGACUGCACGGCUAGAGUGUGUCAGAGGGGGGUAGAAUUCCACGUGUAGCAGUGAAAUGCGUAGAGAUGUGGAGGAAUACCGAUGGCGAAGGCAGCCCCCUGGGAUAACACUGACGCUCAUGCACGAAAGCGUGGGGAGCAAACAGGAUUAGAUACCCUGGUAGUCCACGCCCUAAACGAUGUCUACUAGUUGUCGGGUCUUAAUUGACUUGGUAACGCAGCUAACGCGUGAAGUAGACCGCCUGGGGAGUACGGUCGCAAGAUUAAAACUCAAAGGAAUUGACGGGGACCCGCACAAGCGGUGGAUGAUGUGGAUUAAUUCGAUGCAACGCGAAAAACCUUACCUACCCUUGACAUGUCUGGAAUCCUUGAGAGAUCAGGGAGUGCUCGAAAGAGAAUCAGAACACAGGUGCUGCAUGGCUGUCGUCAGCUCGUGUCGUGAGAUGUUGGGUUAAGUCCCGCAACGAGCGCAACCCUUGUCAUUAGUUGCUACGAAAGGGCACUCUAAUGAGACUGCCGGUGACAAACCGGAGGAAGGUGGGGAUGACGUCAAGUCCUCAUGGCCCUUAUGGGUAGGGCUUCACACGUCAUACAAUGGUACAUACAGAGGGCCGCCAACCCGCGAGGGGGAGCUAAUCCCAGAAAGUGUAUCGUAGUCCGGAUUGUAGUCUGCAACUCGACUACAUGAAGUUGGAAUCGCUAGUAAUCGCGGAUCAGCAUGUCGCGGUGAAUACGUUCCCGGGUCUUGUACACACCGCCCGUCACACCAUGGGAGCGGGUUUCACCAGAAGUGGGUAGCCUAACCGCAAGGAGGGCGCUCACCACGGUGGGAUUCGUGACUGGGGUGAAGUCGUAACAAGGUA